UACGUAGGGGGCAAGCGUUGUCCGGAUUUAUUGGGCGUAAAGAGCGUGUAGGCGGCUUGGUAGGUCCGCUGUGAAAACUCGAGGCUCAACCUCGAGAUGUCGGCGGAAACCACUUGGCUAGAGUCCGGAAGAGGAGAGUGGAAUUCCCGGUGUAGCGGUGAAAUGCGCAGAUAUCGGGAAGAACACCUAUGGCGAAGGCAGCUCUCGUGGGACGGU
rnacentral:rRNA from 1 species